AUUGAACGCUGGCGGCAGGCCUAACACAUGCAAGUCGAACGAGUGGCGGACGGGUGAGUAAUGUCUGGGACACUGCCUGGUGGAGGAGUAUAACUACUGGAAACGGUAGCUAAUACCGCAUACCAUCAGCUGUGCCCAGAUGGGAUUAGCUAGUUGUUGGGGUAACGGCUCACCAAGGCCACGAUCCGUAGCUGGUCUGAGAGGAGGACCAGCCACACUGGGACUGUGACACGGCCCAGACUCCUACGGGAGGCAGCAGUGGGGAAUAUUGCACAAUGGGCGAAAUCCUGAUGCAGCCAUGCCGCGUGUAUGAAGAAGGCCUUCGGGUUGUAAAGUACUUUCAGCGGGAAGGCGGUACCCGCAGAAGAAGCACCGGCUAACUCCGUGCCAGCAGCCGCGGUAAUAC
rnacentral:rRNA from 1 species